rnacentral:rRNA from 1 species
AAGAGGGACGGCCGGGGGCAUUCGUAUUGCGCCGCUAGAGGUGAAAUUCUUGGACCGGCGCAAGACGGACCAGAGCGAAAGCAUUUGCCAAGAAUGUUUUCAUUAAUCAAGAACGAAAGUUGGGGGCUCGAAGACGAUCAGAUACCGUCCUAGUCUCAACCAUAAACGAUGCCGACCAGGGAUCGGCGGAUGUUGCUUAUAGGACUCCGCCGGCACCUUAUGAGAAAUCAAAGUCUUUGGGUUCCGGGGGGAGUAUGGUCGCAAGGCUGAAACUUAAAGGAAUUGACGGAAGGGCACCACCAGGCGUGGAGCCUGCGGCU